AGCGGCGGACGGGUUAGUAACGCGUGGGAAUGUACCCUUUUCUACGGAAUAGCCUCGGGAAACUGAGAUUAAUACCGUAUACGUCAGAGAUGGGAAAGAUUUAUCGGAGAAGGAUCAGCCCGCGUAAGAUUAGAUAGUUGGUGGGGUAAUGGCCUACCAAGUCUACGAUCUUUAGCUGGUUUGAGAGGAUGAUCAGCAACACUGGGACUGAGACACGGCCCAGACUCCUACGGGAGGCAGCAGUGGGGAAUCUUAGACAAUGGGCGCAAGCCUGAUCUAGCCAUGCCGCGUGAGUGAAGAAGGCCUUAGGGUCGUAAAGCUCUUUCAGUGGGGAAGAUAAUGACUGUACCCACAGAAGAAACCCCGGCUAACUCCGUGCCAGCAGCCGCGGUAAUACGGAGGGGGUUAGCGUUGUUCGGAAUUACUGGGCGUAAAGCGUACGUAGGCGGAUUAGCAAGUUAGAGGUGAAAUCCCAGGGCUCAACCUUGGAACUGCCUUUAAAACUGCUAGUCUUGAGUUCGAGAGAGGUGAGUGGAAUUCCGAGUGUAGAGGUGAAAUUCGUAGAUAUUCGGAGGAACACCAGUGGCGAAGGCGGCUCACUGGCUCGAUACUGACGCUGAGGUACGAAAGCGUGGGGAGCAACAGGAUUAGAUACCCUGGUAGUCCACGCGGU
rnacentral:rRNA from 1 species